GACGAACGCUGGCGGCGUGCUUAACACAUGCAAGUCGAACGGAAAGGCCCUGCUUUUGUGGGGUGCUCGAGUGGCGAACGGGUGAGUAACACGUGAGUAACCUGCCCUUGACUUUGGGAUAACUUCAGGAAACUGGGGCUAAUACCAGAUAGGAGCUCCUGCUGCAUGGUGGGGGUUGGAAAGUUUCGGCGGUUGGGGAUGGACUCGCGGCUUAUCAGCUUGUUGGUGGGGUAGUGGCUUACCAAGGCUUUGACGGGUAGCCGGCCUGAGAGGGUGACCGGCCACAUUGGGACUGAGAUACGGCCCAGACUCCUACAGGAGGCAGCAGUGGGGAAUAUUGCACAAUGGGCGGAAGCCUGAUGCAGCAACGCCGCGUGCGGGAUGACGGCCUUCGGGUUGUAAACCGCUUUCGCCUGUGACGAAGCGUGAGUGACGGUAAUGGGUAAAGAAGCACCGGCUAACUACGUG
rnacentral:rRNA from 1 species